UCCGGUUGAUCCUGCCGGACCCGACUGCUAUCGGGGUGGCGCUAAGCCAUGGGAGUCGCACAUCCCACCGCCGUGGGGUGUGGCGAACGGCUGAGUAACACGUGGCUAACCUACCCUCGGGACGGGGACAACUCCGGGAAACUGGAGCUUAUCCCCGAUAGGCGGGGAGCCCUGGAACGGUUCUCCGCCCAAAGGGAUGGGAGGGGGUUAUCGCCUUCUAUCCGCCCGAGGAUGGGGCUGCGUCCCAUCAGGUUGUUGGCGGGGUAACGGCCCGCCAAGCCUAUAACGGGUAGGGGCCGUGAGAGCGGGAGCCCCCAGAUGGGCACUGAGACAAGGGCCCAGGCCCUACGGGGCGCACCAGGCGGGAAACCUCCGCAAUGCGGUAACCCGUGACGGGGUCACCCCGAGUGCUCCCCUUAUGGGGAGCUUUUCCCCGCUGCAGGAAGGCGGGGGUAAUAAGUGGGGGGCAAGACUGGUGUCAGCCGCCGCGGUAAUACCAGCCCCACGAGUGGUCGGGACGGUUAUUGGGCCUAAAGCGCCCGUAGCCGGCCCAGCAAGUUCCUGCCUAAAUCACCGGGCUCAACCCGGUGACUGGUGGGAAUACUGCUGGGCUAGGAGGCGGGAGAGGCCGGGGGUACUCCUAGGGUAGGGGCGAAAUCCUAUAAUCCUAGGAGGACCACCAGUGGCGAAGGCGCCCGGCUGGAACGCGCUCGACGGUGAGGGGCGAAAGCUGGGGGAGCAAACCGGAUUAGAUACCCGGGUAGUCCCAGCUGUAAACGAUGCGGACUAGGUGUUGGACGGACCUAGGGUCCGUCCAGUGCCGCAGGGAAGCCGUUAAGUCCGCCGCCUGGGGAGUACGGCCGCAAGGCUGAAACUUAAAGGAAUUGGCGGGGGAGCACCACAAGGGGUGGAGCCUGCGGCUUAAUUGGAUUCAACGCCGGA
rnacentral:rRNA from 1 species